rnacentral:misc_RNA from 1 species
GAUGAAGAACGUAGCGAAAUGCGAUAAGUAGUGUGAAUUGCAGAAUUCAGUGAAUCAUCGAAUCUUUGAACCCACAUUGCGCCCCUUGGUAUUCCAUGGGGCAUGCCUGUUCGAGCGUCAUUUGUACCUUCAAGCUCAGCUUGGUGUUGGGUGUUUGUCUCGCCUCUGCGUGUAGACUCGCCUCAAAAUAAUUGGCAGCCGGCGUAUUGAUUUCGGAGCGCAGUACAUCUCGCGCUUUGCACUCAUAACGACGACGUCCAAAAGUACAUUUUUACACUCUUGACCUCGGAUCAGGUAGGGAUACCCGCUGAACUUAAGCAUAUCAAUAAGCGGAGGA